rnacentral:rRNA from 1 species
AAAAGAAACUAACAAGGAUUCCCCUAGUAACGGCGAGUGAACCGGGAAGAGCUCAAAUUUGAAAUCUGGCGUCCUCAGGGCGUCCGAGUUGUAAUCUAUAGAGGCGUUUUCCGUGCCGGACCGUGUCCAAGUCCCUUGGAACAGGGUAUCAAAGAGGGUGACAAUCCCGUACUUGACACGACGACCGGUGCUCUGUGAUACGUCUUCUACGAGUCGAGUUGUUUGGGAAUGCAGCUCAAAAUGGGUGGUGAGUUCCAUCUAAAGCUAAAUAUUGGCGAGAGACCGAUAGCGAACAAGUACCGUGAGGGAAAGAUGAAAAGCACUUUGGAAAGAGAGUUAAACAGUACGUGAAAUUGUUGAAAGGGAAACGAUUGAAGUCAGUCGUGACCGAGAGGCUCAGCCGGUUCUGCCGGUGUAUUCCCCUCGGUCGGGUCAACAUCAGUUUUGUCCGGUGGAUAAGGGCAGGAGGAAGGUGGCACCCUCGGGUGUGUUAUAGCCUCCUGUCGCAUACAUCGGGUGAGACUGAGGAACGCAGCUCGCCUUUAUGGCCGGGGUUCGCCCACGU